rnacentral:rRNA from 1 species
GAGAUCGCAUGAACUCUAUAUGAAAAGUGCUACGGGACUGGUAGAUGAUGGACUUAUGGCGCAUUAGCUGGUUGGUAGGGUAACGGCCUACCAAGGCGACGAUGCGUAGCCGACCUGAGAGGGUGACCGGCCACACUGGGACUGAGACACGGCCCAGACUCCUACGGGAGGCAGCAGUAGGGAAUUUUCGGCAAUGGGGGAAACCCUGACCGAGCAACGCCGCGUGAAGGAAGAAGUAAUUCGUUAUGUAAACUUCUGUCAUAGAGGAAGAACGGUGGAUAUAGGGAAUGAUAUCCAAGUGACGGUACUCUAUAAGAAAGCCACGGCUAACUACGUGCCAGCAGCCGCGGUAAUACGUAGGUGGCGAGCGUUAUCCGGAAUUAUUGGGCGUAAAGAGGGAGCAGGCGGCACUAAGGGUCUGUGGUGAAAGAUCGAAGCUUAACUUCGGUAAGCCAUGGAAACCGUAGAGCUAGAGUGUGUGAGAGGAUCGUGGAAUUCCAUGUGUAGCGGUGAAAUGCGUAGAUAUAUGGAGGAACACCAGUGGCGAAGGCGACGAUCUGGCGCAUAACUGACGCUCAGUCCCGAAAGCGUGGGGAGCAAAUAGGAUUAGAUACCCUAGUAGUCCACGCCGU